AACGAACGCUGGCGGCAGGCUUAACACAUGCAAGUCGAGCGCCUCGCAAGGGGAGCGGCAGACGGGUGAGUAACGCGUGGGAAUCUACCCAUCUCUACGGAAUAACGCAUGGAAACGUGUGCUAAUACCGUAUACGUCCUUCGGGAGAAAGAUUUAUCGGAGAUGGAUGAGCCCGCGUUGGAUUAGCUAGUUGGUGGGGUAAAGGCCUACUAAGGCGACGAUCCAUAGCUGGUCUGAGAGGAUGAUCAGCCACACUGGGACUGAGACACGGCCCAGACUCCUACGGGAGGCAGCAGUGGGGAAUAUUGGACAAUGGGCGCAAGCCUGAUCCAGCCACGCCGCGUGAGUGAUGAAGGCCCUAGGGUUGUAAAGCUCUUUCACCGGUGAAGAUAAUGACGGUAACCGGAGAAGAAGCCCCGGCUAACUUCGUGCCAGCCGCCGCAGUAACAC
rnacentral:rRNA from 1 species